CCGGACUCCCCUACACCACCCGCGGCCCAGUUCCCGGAGAGCCGACCGCCCGGCCCCGCCCUUUUCGAGCCCCUCCUGGCCGGGGACGCAAGGUCAGAUGAUCCCCCAGCAGGGAUCUAAUUGGCUUCUCAAGAAAGGAGGGCAUGGCUUGCAACUGAACAAAGCCCGGAGGAACCCUGAACCUCCAUCAGCGGGUCGCCUGCCGCCGGGCCCCGCCCACCACGCUAUGCCUUUUCCCCAGCCCCUGCAAGGUGGGCGUUCUUCUGCCCAGAGGCCCGCCCGGCGGAACCGAGACUCUUAUUGUCCACCCACUCCUGACGUAUCCGCCCACCAGGGUGGGAACGGCCCCUACCUCCACCCUCCUCUCGGCGAGUGGGAUCCUCCGGGCGUAGUCUUGUGUGAGGAGUGGGUUCUGGGUGCACCAGGUUACAGUUGGACACGUAGAGGCACCGGGACUAAGAAUGCGCAAAACGAUGACUUUGUGACGCCUCAAGUCUGUAAUCGGGCAACUUCAGGCACAAACCAAAAAACCCGUGUUUCUGUGCCUACUUCCUCUAGAGGGCAAGAGGGGUUUUUUGGUGCCAAGUUAGUGCCGUCUUUCCUGUUUGAAACUCAGAAACUCACCCCCCGCCCCGCUUUCGAGUGAGGAAGCCCCCAAGUUCCUCAGAUACUCUCCAAACUGCAGGCACAACACCAGGGUGCUGCAUUUGAUAUUUUAAAAGAACACGAGGAUUAAGGCUUUUUCACAUGGCUGUCACCAGAUCACGACAACUCAAGGGGGUCUUCAGUUUUGCCUACGGGAGGAAAGAAAAAGAAAAUAUUAUCUGACUUACAUACAAAGCGUUACAUUUCCUUUAAACUUGUCAGCAGCGAGUUUAAAGCUCUCCGUUGAAAAUAUUUAUAGAUUUGAUUAUAGGGUAUUAGAUUGUCGAUGUAGGAAGAGAACUUUUGGUUCUUUUUCAAAUGUUUGGAAACAGCGAGAGAAAGCUAUUUGUCCAGAAUCACCCAGCCAAUAUUAUGUAAGAGAUUUUAAUCUCAUCUAACCUUCUACUAUAAUGUUACUGUGAUUGUAAUGAUAUGUAAGGUUUAAUAACAUGUAAUAUUUCUUUAAAUAUUAUUCUUUAAAAGAUUUUCGAAGUAAAGGAAGUUGUUAAAUGGAAUAUUAACCAUCA
rnacentral:lncRNA from 1 species